UGGUGUAUAGCCAAAAGGAAAGGCAGUGACUUUUGAUGUCAUCAUGUAAAGGUUCGAAUCCUUUUACACCAG
rnacentral:tRNA from 1 species